rnacentral:rRNA from 1 species
AGGCUACGCUGGCGGCGUGUCUUAGCCAUGCAAGUCGAGCGGACUUAUGGGGUAACUUAUAAGUCAGCGGCGGACGGCGGAGUAACACGUAGCUAACCUACCCUCUGGACGGGGAUAACCUACCGAAAGGUGGACUAAUACCCGAUGUAGUCAUCCUGUAUAGGGGUGAUGAAAGGUGGGCUUCUGUUUACAAGCUCAUGCUGGAGGAGGGGGCUGCGGCCUAUCAGGUAGUUGGUAGGGUAAUAGCCUACCAAGCCGAUGACGGGUAGCCGGCCUGAGAGGGUGACCGGCCCGAGGGGCACUGAGAUACGGGUCCCACUCCUACGGGAGGCAGCAGGCUAGAAAUUUGGGCAAUGGGGGAAACCCUGACCCAGUGACGCCGCGUGCAGGAAGGAGCCCUUCGGGGUGUAAACUGCUGUCGUGUAGGGAGAAGGGUACUAAGGUGAACAAUCUUAGUACUUGACGGUACUACAGGAGGAAGCCCAGGCUAACCUCGUG